AAGCCUAGCUUGUUACCAGUGAUGCACCGAUGUGAAAAUUGUGGCCGAUACCGAUAACCGAUAUUAAUUUUGCUGUUAUGGCCGAUACCGAUAUUUACCGAUGUCGAUAUAUCUGUAUAGAAAACACAUUCUUA